AUUGAACGCUGGCGGCAUGCUUUACACAUGCAAGUCGAACGGUAACAGGCCUUCGGGUGCUGACGAGUGGCGAACGGGUGAGUAAUGCAUCGGAACGUACCCAGAGGUGGGGGAUAACGCAGCGAAAGCUGUGCUAAUACCGCAUGUGAUCUGAGGAUGAAAGCGGGGGACCGAGCAGCAAUGUUUGGCCUCGCGCCUUUGGAGCGGCCGAUGUCGGAUUAGCUAGUUGGUGGGGUAAAGGCCUACCAAGGCGACGAUCCGUAGCUGGUCUGAGAGGACGACCAGCCACACUGGAACGGAGACACGGCCCAGACUCCUACGGGAGGCAGCAGUGGGGAAUUUUGGACAAUGGACGCAAGCCUGAUCCAGCAAUGCCGCGUGCGGGAAGAAGGCCUUCGGGUUGUAAACCGCUUUUGGCAGGAACGAAACGGUGUCCGCUAAUACCGGGCGCUAAUGACGGUACCUGCAGAAUAAGCACCGGCUAACUACGUG
rnacentral:rRNA from 1 species